CAGCAAUGCUCCGUCCUUAGAUAAAUAACGUCUAUGAAUAAAGGGGUUAAAUUUUACCCACUUGCUAUCUGGCGCUAUAAUAAUUUGGCCCGUUCCGACGAUCCUUUUACUCUCCAUAUUCAUUCCAUUCAUUUCCGUUUUAUAUUAUAAUUCUCUUUGCAUUAGAUAUAUCUUAGAGUUAAACCAUAUAAUACUCUUCGCAUUAUACUCUCAAAACAAUUCAUUAUCAAAGAGAAUUACAAUAUAUGGAAACUUAUUAUAAUUUCUUUGGUCUGACGCCAAACGCAAUUACCAAAGAGAAUACUUACACAUUUCCAAUCACAAUAUGUAGCAUAAAAUAAGUGCAAGAUUUAAAUCAAGUAUUCCUACAUAGUUAAUAAUGAUAUAUACCCACUCAUAAAAUAUGCACCAUAGGUAUGAGCCUUUUGAAAGGAAAGGAGAAAGUAUUUUGUUCUAAUUCACAGAAAAACCACAUGACGUCAAGAACCCGCGAUUUUAUACAGAAAAUUUGCUAUAGGCGAACUGCGUCUGUUGAUAUGACCCGGUAUGGCUUUAUAAGCGAUAGCAAAAUUCAUCCAGUCAACUUAUUGCUGAAACCUCUUCGCCAGCAGUUGGAGAAAAUUUGUGCUAAAGUUGUUCACGGUCCAAGAAAACCUUCCCCAGUUAAAGGAAAGAACAAUCUCAAAUUACGAAGAGUUACAAAACACAAUAAAAGAAAACCCAAGAAGGACAAAAAUUACUCAAAAAAGAAAUUAAAGCUUCAAAGUAUUAAAUUAAAGAAAAAAAUAUGAAUACAUACAUUAAAUAAAGCGCUUAUCUAAUAAUUAAUUCAUUAUUAUUUUGAGAUUAAACAUCCUAUAAACUAGAAUUCCAUUGCAUUGUGAAAGUCUUUUACACGAAUAAAGGUGACACUGUGCAAUUUCCUUAGAUAUCAAUUAUAAGUCUCGAUAUAACCCUGUAAAAAGUAAAAAUUAAAAUGU